rnacentral:rRNA from 1 species
CAGCCGCCGCGGUAAUACGUAGGGUGCAAGCGUUAAUCGGAAUUACUGGGCGUAAAGCGUGCGCAGGCGGUUUGUUAAGACAGAUGUGAAAUCCCCGGGCUCAACCUGGGAACUGCAUUUGUGACUGGCAAGCUAGAGUCUGGCAGAGGGGGGUGGAAUUCCGCGUGUAGCAGUGAAAUGCGUAGAUAUGCGGAGGAACACCGAUGGCGAAGGCAGCCUCCUGGGAUAACACUGACGCUCAUGCACGAAAGCGUGGGGAGCAAACAGGAUUAGAUACCCCUGUAGUCCCUGUCUCUUAUAC